rnacentral:rRNA from 1 species
GAGGAAAGAAACCAACAGGGAUUGCCCCAGUAACGGCGAGUGAAGCGGCAACAGCUCAAAUUUGAAAUCUGGCUCUCGGGCCCGAGUUGUAAUUUGUAGAGGAUGCUUUUGGUGAGGUGCCUUCCGAGUUCCCUGGAACGGGACGCCAUAGAGGGUGAGAGCCCCGUCUGGUUGGACGCCGAACCUCUGUAAAGCUCCUUCGACGAGUCGAGUAGUUUGGGAAUGCUGCUCUAAAUGGGAGGUAUAUGUCUUCUAAAGCUAAAUACCGGCCAGAGACCGAUAGCGCACAAGUAGAGUGAUCGAAAGAUGAAAAGAACUUUGAAAAGAGAGUUAAACAGUACGUGAAAUUGUUGAAAGGGAAGCGCUUGUGACCAGACUUGGGCUUGGUUGAUCAUCCGGGGUUCUCCCCGGUGCACUCUUCCGGCCCAGGCCAGCAUCAGUUCGCCCUGGGGGACAAAGGCAUCGGGAACGUGGCUCUCUCCGGGGAGUGUUAUAGCCCGUUGCGUAAUACCCUGCGGCGGACUGAGGUUCGCGCAUUCGCAAGGAUGCUGGCGUAAUGGUCAUCAGUGACCCGUCUUGAAACACGGACCAAGGAGUCGUCUUCGUAUGCGAGUGUUCGGGUGUCAAACCCCUACGCGAAAUGAAAGUGAACGCAGGUGAGAGCUUCGGCGCAUCAUCGACCGAUCCUGAUGUUAUCGGAUGGAUUUGAGUAAGAGCAUACGGGGCCGGACCCGAAAGAAGGUGAACUAUGCCUGUGUAGGGUGAAGCCAGAGGAAACUCCUGGUGGAGGCUCGCAGCGGGUUCUGACGUGCAAAUCGAUCGUCAACAUGGGCAUGGGGGGCGAAAGACUAAUCGAACUCUAAA